rnacentral:rRNA from 1 species
AGUAACGCGUGAGAACCUGCCCUAGAGUGGGGGACAACAGUUGGAAACGACUGCUAAUACCGCAUACGAUCUACGGAUGAAAGCGGGGGAUCUUCGGACCUCGCGCGGACGGAGCGGCCGAUGGCAGAUUAGGUAGUUGGUGGGAUAAAAGCUUACCAAGCCGACGAUCUGUAGCUGGUCUGAGAGGAUGAUCAGCCACACUGGGACUGAGACACGGCCCAG